UACGUAGGGUGCAAGCGUUAAUCGGAAUUACUGGGCGUAAAGCGUGCGCAGGCGGUUGUGCCAGAACGAUGUGAAAUCCCCGGGCUUAACCUGGGAACUGCAUUGGUGACUGCACGGCUAGAGUGUGUCAGAGGGGGGUAGAAUUCCACGUGUAGCAGUGAAAUGCGUAGAUAUGUGGAGGAAUACCGAUGGCGAAGGCAGCCCCCUGGGAUAACACUGACGCUCAUGCACGAAAGCGUGGGGAGCAAACAGG
rnacentral:rRNA from 1 species